rnacentral:rRNA from 1 species
UUAACACAUGCAAGUCGAACGGAAAGGCCCUGCUUUUGUGGGGUGCUCGAGUGGCGAACGGGUGAGUAACACGUGAGUAACCUGCCCUUGACUUUGGGAUAACUUCAGGAAACUGGGGCUAAUACCGGAUAGGAGCUCCUGCUGCAUGGUGGGGGUUGGAAAGUUUCGGCGGUUGGGGAUGGACUCGCGGCUUAUCAGCUUGUUGGUGGGGUAGUGGCUUACCAAGGCUUUGACGGGUAGCCGGCCUGAGAGGGUGACCGGCCACAUUGGGACUGAGAUACGGCCCAGACUCCUACGGGAGGCAGCAGUGGGGAAUAUUGCACAAUGGGCGGAAGCCUGAUGCAGCAACGCCGCGUGCGGGAUGACGGCCUUCGGGUUGUAAACCGCUUUCGCCUGUGACGAAGCGUGAGUGACGGUAAUGGGUAAAGAAGCACCGGCUAACUACGUGCCAGCAGCCGCGGUGAUACGUAGGGUGCGAGCGUUGUCCGGAUUUAUUGGGCGUAAAGGGCUCGUAGGUGGUUGAUCGCGUCGGAAGUGUAAUCUUGGGGCUUAACCCUGAGCGUGCUUUCGAUACGGGUUGACUUGAGGAAGGUAGGGGAGAAUGGAAUUCCUGGUGGAGCGGUGGAAUGCGCAGAUAUCAGGAGGAACACCAGUGGCGAAGGCGGUUCUCUGGGCCUUUCCUGACGCUGAGGAGCGAAAGCGUGGGGAGCGAACAGGCUUAGAUACCCUGGUAGUCCACGCUGUAAACGGUGGGUACUAGGUGUGGGGUCCAUUCCACGGGUUCCGUGCCGUAGCUAACGCUUUAAGUACCCCGCCUGGGGAGUACGGCCGCAAGGCUAAAACUCAAAGGAAUUGACGGGGCCCCGCACAAGCGGCGGAGCAUGCGGAUUAAUUCGAUGCAACGCGUAGAACCUUACCUGGGUUUGACAUGGAUCGGGAGUGCUCAGAGAUGGGUGUGCCUCUUUUGGGGUCGGUUCACAGGUGGUGCAUGGCUGUCGUCAGCUCGUGUCGUGAGAUGUUGGGUUAAGUCCCGCAACGAGCGCAACCCUUGUUCACUGUUGCCAGCACGUUAUGGUGGGGACUCAGUGGAGACCGCCGGGGUCAACUCGGAGGAAGGUGGGGAUGACGUCAAGUCAUCAUGCCCCUUAUGUCCAGGGCUUCACGCAUGCUACAAUGGCUGGUACAGAGAGUGGCGAGCCUGUGAGGGUGAGCGAAUCUCGGAAAGCCGGUCUCAGUUCGGAUUGGGGUCUGCAACUCGACCUCAUGAAGUCGGAGUCGCUAGUAAUCGCAGAUCAGCAACGCUGCGGUGAAUACGUUCCCGGGGCUUGUACACACCGCCCGUCAAGUCAUGAAAGUUGGUAACACCCGAAGCCGGUGGCCUAACCGUUGUGGGGGAGCCGUCGAAGGUGGGACUGGUGAUUAGGACUAAG